AUGUCGGUCGAUGGUGUGAAAACACUUCCUGAUGUCGAAUUCCAAAAACCAGCGAGAGGUUCCCCACUCUUCUUUAAUCCGUCUGAGGGCCGAGUGGCAGCCUCGACCCGAGCGGAAGUGCGAUGUGUCUUGAAACUCGAGAUCGUAAAUGGAUUCGGGUACCAUUCUGAUCACCUCUUUCAUUAUCUUUUCUAUGGGUAG
rnacentral:rRNA from 1 species